CUUCUUAAUACUUGUGGGAUUGCUGUUCGGAUGCAAUUCUGUAAUUUCAGUGGUGCUCUAGUCUAGAUGACAGGACGUUCAGGAAAUGGCGAAAGGCAAUGCGAGAAUACGGAACGACAGGCGGAUGCGUAUUAGGGACUUUAAUUUGUGGCUUGGUGAAUGGUGUCGGGAGCAAGGAUUUGGCUUUAUUUCUAAUGGUAGCUCUGUUUGGAAUGGAGAUAAGCUGUACAAAAAAGAUGGCUUGCAUCUUUCUCAAAAGGGAACAAAUGUUCUCAGUGAGAAGUUCAGAGGUUUUGCUAGGAUGUAUUUAAA